AGGCAGCAGUGAGGAAUAUUGGUCAAUGGGCGAGAGCCUGAACCAGCCAAAUCGCGUGAAGGAAGACUGCCUUAUGGGUUGUAAACUUCUUUUGUACAGGAAUAAAAAGGGGGACGCGUCCUCCAUUGCAUGUACUGUACGAAUAAGCAUCGGCUAACUCCGUGCCAGCAGCCGCGG
rnacentral:rRNA from 1 species